UACAGAGGGGGCAAGCGUUGUUCGGAAUUACUGGGCGUAAAGGGCUCGUAGGCGGCCAACUAAGUCCGACGUGAAAUCCCCAGGCUUAACCUGGGAACUGCGUCGGAUACUGGAUGGCUUGAAUCCGGGAGAGGGAUGCGGAAUUCCAGGUGUAGCGGUGAAAUGCGUAGAUAUCUGGAGGAACACCGGUGGCGAAGGCGGCAUCCUGGACCGGCAUUGACGCUGAUGAGCGAAAGCCAGGGGAGCAAACGGG
rnacentral:rRNA from 1 species